rnacentral:lncRNA from 1 species
GCAACAACAACAACAGCAACAAUUGCCCUGUCCGUUUUUUUAAACCAAAAAUAUCUCUGCACCAUUAGAAUCAAGAGGUCACCUUUAACAGAACCUGGUGCUCAUUAUGGUGGCUCUGUUCUAUUCGAGGAACAUACAAGUCCGUCAACGAGAUGAGGGUACCCCUUGUUGAUGAAAUGAUGGUGCCUCCGUGGAUAACAUAAGAGUACCUCUAUGUGGCCGUUCCUUUUGCUGGAAAAAGUAGGUAAAUCUCCUUUUAAAUUGUGCAUCUUGCUCUUUUACUCUUUUACUUGUUUCAGUCAUUUUGACCGCGGCCAUGCUGGAGCACCGCCUUUAGUCGAGCAAAUUGACCCCGGGACUUAUUCUUUGUAAGCCCAGUACUUAUUCUAUCAGUCUCUUUUGCCGAACCGCUAAGUGACAAGCCCAUAGCUUUGACCUUCUGCACCAUUUCCACCCCUCCUCAUUGUUUUCAACUGCAGUUUGGGAACUUAAAUAGAUGUAUAUAUGUGUACAUUCAUACAUAUAUACAUAUGUGUGUGUGUGUGUGUGUGUAUACAAAUAUGUGUGCAUAUAUAUACUUAUAUAUAUAUGUUUACUCUUUACUCUUUUACUCUUUUACUUGUUUCAGUCAUUUGACUGCGGCCAUGCUGGAGCACCGCCUUUUAGUCGUGCAAAUUGACCCCGGGACUUAUUCUUUUGUAAGCCCAGUACUUAUUCUAUCAGUCUCUUUUGCCGAACCGCUAAGUGACGGGGACGUAAACACACCAGCAUCGGUUGUCAAGCAAUGCUAGGGGGACAAACACAGACACACAGACACACAUACAUAUAUAUAUAUAUAUAUACAUAUAUACGACAGGCUUCUUUCAGAUUCCGUCUACCAAAUCCACUCACAAGGCUUUGGUCGGCCCGGGGCUAUAGCAGAAGAUACUUGCCCAAGAUGCCACGCAGUGGGACUGAACCUGGAACCAUGUGGUUGGUUAGCAAGCUACUUACCACACAGCCACUCCUGCGCCUAUCUUGUAUUUUUUUGUCUAAAAUGAAGCAGCAAAAACACAUAAACACAUAUUAUAAUAUUUUUAUAUUGAAAAAUAACUUAGCAAUGAGAACUCAGGUUCGAAAUUUCCCCAAGACACCUGAUGAAGGCUGGAGGGUAUAUCAGCCGAAACGUUGUGUUAACAUCAAACAAGAUGAGGACAAAUAUCCGUCAAAUGUAAAUUAUGUAAAUAAUUCCUCAUCUCUUAAAUACAGAACUGAAAUACUACUACUACUACUACUACUACUACUAAUAAUAAUAAUAACAUUGAAAAAUACUUGAGGAAUGAUAACCCAGGUUCGAAAUAGCCCCAAGACACCUGAUGAAGGCUGGAGGGUAUAUCAGCCGAAACAUUGUGUUAACAACAAACAAGAUGAGGACAAAUAUCCGUCAAAUGUAAAUAAUGUAAAUAAUGAACAACAACAAUAACAAAACGACACUUUGAAUUAUGUAGUCCAAGAUACACUGUUCGAAUAAAAGAUGACGAUCAUUUGCUUCUUAAGUACCUUUGGCUAACGAUCCAAUUAAGUUAUGGUUAAAUAACAUCAGCAACAAUCACAAGGAACAGCACUUUGGAUACUAUAGUCCAAGGUACACUAUACUCUUUACUCUCUUUUACUUGUUUCAGUCAUUUGACCGCGGCCAUGCUGGAGCACCGCCUUUAGUCGAGCAAAUCGACCCCGGGACUUAUUCUUUGUAAGCCCAGUACUUAUUCUAUCGGUCUCUUUUACUUGUUUCAGUCAUUUGACUGUGGCCAUGCUGGAGCACCGCCUUCUAGUCGAUCGAGCAAAUCGACCCCGGGACUUAUUCUUUGUAAGCCCAGCACUUAUUCUAUCGGUCUCUUUUUGCUGAACCGCUAAGUGACGGGGACGUAAACACACCAGCAUCGGUUGUCAAGCAAUGCUAGGGAGACAAACAUAUAUACACACACUUAUAUAUAUAUAUACAUAUAUACGACAGGCUUCUUUCAGUUUCCGUCUACCAAAUCCUCUCACAAGGCAUUGGUUGUCCCGGGGCUAUAGCAGAAGACACUUGCCCAAGAUGCCACCAAGUGGGACUGAACCCGGAACCAUGUGGUUGGUAAGCAAGCUACUUACCACACAGCCACUCCUGCGCCUAUGUUUGAAUAAAAAACAGGACUGUUGUUUCCUGUAGCAACACUUUUUAUCAUAGCUCUGUUAGAUCAGGACUGACCCGGGGUUUAACAAUGACAACAUCAAUAAAAGACAAGGAGCAACACUUUGGUUGGGGUAGUCCAAGAUAGACUAUGUCUGUAUAAAAGACAGGAUACUCUCUCUCUUUUACUCUUUUACUUGUUUCAGACUGCGGCCAUGCUGGAGCACCGCCUUUAAUCAAGCAACCCGACCAGGGACUUAUUCUUUUGUAAGCCCAGUACUUAUUCUAUCGGUCUCUUUUGCCGAACCGCUAAGUAACGGGGACAUAAACACACCAGCAUCGGUUGUCAAGCAAUGCUAGGGGGACAAACACAGACGCACAAACACACACACAUACAUAUAUAUAUACAUAUAUACGACGGGCUUCUUUCAGUUUCUGUCUACCAAAUCCUCUCACAUGGCAUUGGUUGGCCUGGGGCUAUAGCAGAAGACACUUACCCAAGGUGCCACGCAGUGGGACUGAACCCGGAACCAUGUGGUUGGUAAGCAAGCUACUUACCACACAGCCACUCCUGCGCCUAUGCAUGAAUAAGAAACAGGACUGUUGUUCCCUGUAGCAACACUUUUUAUCAUAGCUCUGUUAGAUCAGGACUGACCCGGGGUUUAACAAUGACAACAUCAAUAAAAGACAAGGAGCAACACUUUGGAUGGGGUAGUCCAGGAUAGACUGUGUCUGAAUUAAAGACAGGAUGGUCAUUUUCUGUUGGAAUGGUUUUGAGCAUAGGCCUGUUGGAUCAGGACUAAUGCUCAGCCAAUUGACAACAACAACAACAACAACAACAACAGUAGCAACAACAAGAGCAGCAGCAACAAGUGAAGGCGCAAUGGCCCAAUGGUUAGGGCAGUGGACUCGCGGUCGGAGGAUCGCGGUUUUGAUUCCCAGACCGGGCGUUGUGUGUGUUUGUUGAGUGAAAACACCUAAAGCUCCACGAGGCUCCGGCAGGGGGUGGUGGCAACCUCUGUUGUACACUUUCACUCCAACAUCAAGUGGAGGCGCAAUGGUCCUAUGGUUAGGGCAGCGAACUUGCAGUCGGAGGAUCGCGGUUUUGAUUCCCAGACUGGGCGUUGUGUGUGUUUAUUGAGCGAAAACACCUAAAGCUCCACGAGGCUCCGGCAGGGGGUGGUGGCGACCCCUGUUGUACUCCUUCGCCCCAACUUUCUCUGACUCUUUCUUCCUGUUUCUAGUCCCCGACUUCCUACGCAACUGCUGAGCCUGGAUGCGCAUUCAUCCAUCCGUCGAUGCUCUCGGUGUCGGGGGUUGACCUGCUUUCUCUUCUGCGGGUCUUAUGAAUAGCAAAGGACCAUGUUUCGGACUUCUCCCAUCUUGCGAGCUCAGGGACGAAGACCGUUCGCUCAAUGGCAACUGCAGCAACAACAACAAUAAUAGGCUUAUUAUAAGAAAGAGACGGAAUAAAACUCUCGUUGUUGGGGGUUGACCUGCUUUCUCUUCUGUGGGUCUUACAAAUAGCAAAGGACCAUGUUUCGGACUUCUCCCACUACAGGAUGAAGACCGCUUCGUUCAACAGCAACAGCAGCAACAGCAGCAACAGCAGCAAUAACAAGAUCAAUUGCAAAGGUCGUGAGUUCAAUUCCUGGCAACACUUUAUUUCACAUUGCCCCAGUCUAUAUAUCAAAAGGCCAACCUUGUCACACUCCGUAUCACGCUGAAUCUCCCUGGGAACUAUGCUAAAAGCAUACAUACCUGUGGAGUACUCAGCCACUUGCAUGUUAAUUUCACAAGCUGGCCGUUCCGGUGAUUGGAUCAGCUGGAACCUUCUUGAAGCCAAUUCUAUCACAACACUCUCAAGGGACACGUUCUAGUGUAAUGACAAGGGCUGACCGAAAAGUUUAUAGGCUGACCAAGAUAAACGGGAUUUAUUUUUCAACAUAAUCCCUCUUGGGGUCUACACACUUCUUCCAUCAGUGUUACAGUUCUUGGAACCCAUUGGUGAAGAAGCUUUGAUUCUGUUAGUCAUAAAAAAGCCAUCGACAGCAGAUACGACAUCACCAUCACCACUUUGGUACUGGUUCCCAGCCAAGCGCUAUUCUCAUGCUGGGGAACGGAUAGAGAGAGCCAGCUCUGUAACAAUUCCUAAAAUUCAUGUUUGUACCAAUUCUACAAAUCUAUAAUUUGGCAAGUCUACAACGGUUCUACCAAGUCAGCUACCAAUAAAUGGAGGAAAAAAUCUAUUCCUUUAUGGAUUAAUAUAUGUAUGUAUGAACUAUGAGUGAAACCUCCAUGUGGUUGCUAGACCUGGUAGAAAUAGCAGCCAAAGGACCCUCAAAUCAUACCGUACAGUCAUAUUUAUUAAUAUAUAUAUGUACUUAUAGGUGCAGGAGUAGCUGUGUGGUAAGUAGCUUGCUUACCACCACAUGGUUCCGGGUUCAGUCCCACUGCGUGGCACCUUGGGCAAGUGUCUUCUGCUAUAGCCUCGGGCUGACCAAAGCCUUGUGAGUAGAUUUGGUAGAUGGAAACUGAAAGAAGCCCGUUGAUAUAUAUAUAUAAAUAUAUAUGUGUAUGUAUAUGUUUGUGUGUCUGUGUUUGUCCUCCCAACAUUGCUUGACAACCGAUGCUAGUGUGUUUACGUCCCCGUCACUUAGCGGUUCGGCAAGAGAGACUGGUAGAAUAAGUACUAGGCUUACAAAGAAUAAGUGAAAAAAGAAAAAAAGCCACAAUGGCGAAAUGUAUGUAGGAACUAAUGCAAACUUGUGUUUACCAUAAUUUCUCCUUCACACACACACACACACACACACACACACACACACACACACACACACACACACACAUACACACACACACAUGCUUGCAAAUGUAUUAUUUAAUGCAUAUUCACACACACACACACACACACACACAUACACACAUACACACAUGCUUGCAAAUGUAUUAUCUAAUGCAUAUGUUAUUUUUCUUUUGUCCUAGCUCUACUUCUGUGAAUAGUACCAAAACUAUGACAGAUCUUGUAUCCUGAUUCUUCAUAACUAGAAAUGGUCAUCUUGAAAAUGAGUCUACCUGUAUGUGUAGAUUCCUGAAAUAUCAAUACUUUGGUUACCGCUAACUUACCAAUAUCAUCAAGGUAUUUUGAACACAGAGUCUAAUGUUUU